rnacentral:SRP_RNA from 15 species
CGGCUGUAAUGGUCAAACGGUGAAGGCUCUCGCACAAAGGCCCGCCACUCCCCAAUCCCACCCCCGUCAGAUCCCCUCCGUUCGACGCCCAGCCCGAACGCCGCGGUGGCCGCCCGCUCGUACAGGUAACUUACGAUGUCGGAAACACUUUACCGUGGCCCUAAGCAAUGGAGAUGACACUUCAGGGAGGCUUCACUCUGCAGAGAACUCUCCCCCGUCGCGUGGCGGGCUGGAUUACGAUCGCGGAGGGCGUGGGUUGGGGUGGUGGGACGGAGAAUGCCAACACCUUUUU